UACGAAGGGGGCUAGCGUUGUUCGGAAUUACUGGGCGUAAAGCGCACGUAGGCGGUCCUGUCAGUCAGAAGUGAAAGCCCUGGGCUCAACCCGGGAACUGCUUUUGAUACUGCAGGGCUUGAAUCCUGGAGAGGGUAGUGGAAUUCCCAGUGUAGAGGUGAAAUUCGUAGAUAUUGGGAAGAACACCAGUGGCGAAGGCGACUACCUGGCCAGGCAUUGACGCUGAGGUGCGAAAGCGUGGGGAGCAAACAGG
rnacentral:rRNA from 1 species